CAGACAAAGAGGAGUCAGGAACCUGAGACUGGGGCCAAUGAGGAGAGGCCAGCACUCCAAGUCAGCCAGGUUGACAGGGUGGGCAAGCCAAUGAGUGAGUCAGGAACCUAGGGUUUUCCUCCAUGUGAGCUGAGGCUGUGAGGGCAGAGCCAGCAAGAGACCUGAGCUGGGGAGAGUGCAGCAAACCAAAGCAGCAGUCCAGAGCAGAGCCAGGGAGAGAGCAACAGCCCGAGCAGCUGGACCAGUCGCCUAGAGUCAGAACAGCAGCCGGAGUUGGAGAAGCAUUGGAGUGAUAGCGGCGGGGUCUAUUCAUGUGUCUGCAGAGCCAGCUCCCAAGUCAUCAGAUAUAAUUUGUUAAAAAAGGUUGCAGCAGCUCUGGACACAGCACCUUUUCUCCCCACCUCUUUGGAGAUGGAUCCACCCACCCCACAUCCCCUGCCACCUCUGAGCAUCAUUGCAUAGGAAUUUGUGGCAGACAAUGAGAUCAUUUAUGAAACUGUUGACUAGCAUCAGGCCUAGUAUGAUCCCUGGAGAACCCCAGAAGAACCACCCUUCUCCCCACAUUCAAUGAUGAUUCCCCCUGGACAACUCUUUUUUGAGAUCUCUCAGUUAAGCCAGUUCUUAAUUAAUUUACUGUGGUGCUUUGUUGGCUAGUACUAAUUUUCUAAUCAGCAUGUUGUGCAGUACUCGGUCAAACGAAUUCCAAAGUCUGUGUAUAUUAUACCUAUGCAGGUACCUGUAUCAGCCAAAUUUGUAAUUUCAUCACAGAAUAAAAUCAG